AACGCGAAGAACCUUACCUGGUCUUGACAUCCACAGAACUUUCCAGAGAUGGAUUGGUGCCUUCGGGAACUGUGAGACAGGUGCUGCAUGGCUGUCGUCAGCUCGUGUUGUGAAAUGUUGGGUUAAGUCCCGCAACGAGCGCAACCCUUAUCCUUUGUUGCCAGCGGUCCGGCCGGGAACUCAAAGGAGACUGCCAGUGAUAAACUGGAGGAAGGUGGGGAUGACGUCAAGUCAUCAUGGCCCUUACGACCAGGGCUACACACGUGCUACAAUGGCAUAUACAAAGAGAAGCGACCUCGCGAGAGCAAGCGGACCUCAUAAGGUAUGUCGUAGUCCGGAUUGGAGUCUGCAACUCGACUCCAUGAAGUCGGAAUCGCUAGUAAUCGUAGAUCAGAAUGCUACGGUGAAUACGUUCCC
rnacentral:rRNA from 1 species